CUUCCUGUCCCAUUGUAAAGGCUGUGAUUUCCUGCCAGAGGGUAGCAGCUCGUAAAUUUGUGCUAGGUUGCAUAACGCAAUUAGCCUUUUUCUAGAUCUGUUGGUGCUCUUGGCAAGAUGCCACAAACAGAUCUGGGACCAGGCUGUAUUGCCACAAUAGCUAGCUAUUCCCAAAACCCACUACCUUUGGCUUGCACAGUACUGACCAUUUUCAGCCUUCUGGAAGAUAAUGUAUCUGUGCCACACAGUCUGGGAAUGAAGUGGAUGUUACUGUUCGUCCUCAUCUCACAGUACAGAGGUGUUCACUCACUCAGACUCCAGAUGUUACUGUUCGUCCUCAUCUCACAGUACAGAGGUGUUCACUCACUCAGACUCCAGAUGUUACUGUUCGUCCUCAUCUCACAGUACAGAGGUGUUCACUCACUCAGAUGUUACUGUUCGUCCUCAUCUCACAGUACAGAGGUGUUCACUCACUCAGACUCCAGAUGUUACUGUUCGUCCUCAUCUCACAGUACAGUGGUGUUCACUCACUCAGACUCCAGAUGUUACUGUUCGUCCUCAUCUCACAGUACAGAGGUGUUCACUCACUCAGACUCCAGAUGUUACUGUUCGUCCUCAUCUCACAGUACAGAGGUGUUCACUCAGACUCCAGAUGUUACUGUUCGUCCUCAUCUCACAGUACAGUGGUGUUCACUCACUCAGACUCCAGAUGUGGUCAGGAAUCAACCACCAGAUGACUUUCUCCUUCCUUUCCCCUCCUCCAUUUGACAUCAAAUCUGUGUUGUUUUCUCUCUCUAUCAAAAGUCACCCCCCCAUGACCCUGACUGACCUGAAUGAACUCCUCCUCGUCCACACCACAUGGUUGACUCGUCAUUGUCUGAGUGGAUCUGCUAGCUGCUAUUAUAUUUUAUAUAUAUAUAUACACACACUGCUCAAAAAAAUAAAGGGAACACUAAAAUAACACAUCCUAGAUCUGAAUGAAUGAAAUAUUCUUAUGAAAUACUUUUUUCUUUACAUAGUUGAAUGUGCUGAUAACAAAAUCACACAAAAAUGAUCAAUGGAAAUCUAAUUUAUCAACCCAUGGAGGUCUGGAUUUGGAGUCACACUCAAAAUUAAAGUGGAAAACCACACUACAGGCUGAUCCAACUUUGAUGUAAUGUCCUUAAAACAAGUCAAACUACUGCUGGUGGAUGGAGCGAGACAUGAUGUCCCAGAUGUGCUCAAUUGGAUUCAGGUCUGGGGAACGGGCGGGCCAGUCCAUAGCAUCAAUGCCUUCCUCUUGCAGGAACUGCUGACACACUCCAGCCACAUGAGGUCUAGCAUUGUUUUGCAUUAGGAGGAACCCAGGGCCAAACACACCAGCAUAUGGUCUCACAAGGGGUCUGAGGAUCUCAUCUCGGUACCUAAUGGCAGUCAGGUUACCUCUGGCGAGCACAUGGAGGGCUGUGCGGCCCCCCAAAGAAAUGCCACCCCACACCAUGACUGAUCCACCGCCAAACCGGUCAUGCUGGAGGAUGUUGCAGGCAGCAGAACGUUCUCCACGGCGUCUACCGACUAUCACAUCUGUUACAUGUGCUCAGUGUGAACCUGCUUUCAUCUGUGAAGAGCACAGGGCGCCAGUGGCGAAUUUGCCAAACUUGGUGUUUUCUGGCAAAUGCCAAAUGUCCUGCACGGUGUUGGGCUGUAAGCACAACCCCCACCUGUGGACGUCGGUGACUGG
rnacentral:lncRNA from 13 species